rnacentral:tRNA from 1 species
GGGCAUGUAGCUCAGUGAUAGAGCAGCACACCGGCCAGGGGCAGGUCCAAGGUUCGAUUCCUAGCCCGUCCA